rnacentral:misc_RNA from 1 species
AACCAUUCUCACCUGCGGCUAGACCUGCGGAAGGAUCAUUACCGAGUUAGGGUGUCUGUUCGCAGCGCCCGACCUCCCAACCCUUUGUCUAUGAUACCUAAACAGUUGCUUCGGCGUGCCGAGGGGUCGUACCCUCGCCGGGCCUCGCGGCCGGGAGCGCGCACGUCGACGGCCUUUAUCUAACACUUGAACCCAAAACCUGUCGUCUGAAAACUUGUGAUUAACCAAUAAUCAAAAACA